rnacentral:rRNA from 1 species
GACGAACGCUGGCGGCGUGCUUAACACAUGCAAGUCGAACGAAGAGCGACGGAAGCUUGCUUCUAUCAAUCUUAGUGGCGAACGGGUGAGUAACGCGUAAUCAACCUGCCCUUCAGAGGGGGACAACAGUUGGAAACGACUGCUAAUACCGCAUACGAUCUAAUCUCGGCAUCGAGGAUGGAUGAAAGGUGGCCUCUACAUGUAAGCUAUCACUGAAGGAGGGGAUUGCGUCGGAUUAGCUAGUUGGAGGGGUAACGGCCCACCAAGGCGAUGAUCAGUAGCCGGUCUGAGAGGAUGGACGGCCACAUUGGGACUGAGACACGGCCCAGACUCCUACGGGAGGCAGCAGUGGGGAAUCUUCCGCAAUGGACGAAAGUCUGACGGAGCAACGCCGCGUGAGUGAUGACGGCCUUCGGGUUGUAAAGCUCUGUUAGUCGGGACGAAAGGCCUUCUUGCGAAUAGUGAGAAGGAUUGACGGUACCGGAAUAGAAAGCCACGGCUAACUACGUG